rnacentral:rRNA from 1 species
AUGGAGGCUGCGGCAGCUACUGCUUUUGCCUGUAGGAUUGCACCGAAGCUGUUGGCAUUCUUAGCUGCAAAUCACAAGCUUCGGCAGAAUCUGGAGCAUGAUAUCACCUAUAUCAGAAAUGAGUUUGCGUUGAUCUCUGCCGCCAUUCAGCAAGACGACGACCACCGCUGGAGGAGUGGACCCAGCAGAGACUACAUGCAGAGGGCCUGGGUCAAAAUCAUACGUGACCUGGCGCAUGCUGUCGAGGACUGCAUCGACCGCUUCAUGCACCGGGUGACCAUCUCCGGGACAUCGACAUGGCUUCGCCAAGCUGUCCACCGGGUGCAGACGGUGACAGUCCGUAAGGAGUUUGCCAAGACAAUUCGUGAGCUCAAGAAGAUAUCACAGGAGUCAUCCAAGCUGAGAGAAACUUAUUACAGCGCCAGCAUCGCUGCUGGCACCUCCUCUUAUUCAGCAGCGUCGUCGUCAGUGGCAAGUGAGACGAUGACACAGAUGGCGAAAGAUGACACUCUCUCAGCUGGCAGAUCUGUUGGCAUGGAUGCGCCCCAGGAUGAGCUUCUUGAGCUGAUCCAGCAGCAGCAACAGCAGCUCAAGGUGAUCUCCAUUGUUGGUUUCCAUGGUAUAGGCAAGACUCUCCUUGCCAGGCGUGUGUACCACACAAUUGAGAACCAAUACCAAGCUCGGGCUUGGGUCUCUGCAGCAGAGCAAGGGUUCCCAACAAAUGUUCUCAAGCAGAUACUCCAGCAACUUGGCAUCCCCAGCAAUGGUGGAGGCAACUUCAACAAGCUCUGCACAGUCCUCAGACUAUACCUUAGAAGCAAGAGGUUCUUCAUCGUCAUCGAUGACAUGCAGACGGAAUUUUGGCAUGAUAUAAAAGAUAUCUUUGUGGGGCUGAGCGGUAGAAUUCUGGUGACGACGGCCAUUCAGUCAGUAGCAAAUGCCUGCAGCAGCUCAGCAGCUCAUGAUCAUGUGUACGCAAUGAAAACUCUUGCUGAUGAACAUUCAAGACUACUGUUUUUCAAGGAAGCUUUCCAAGACGACAAUCCGCCAGUCAAUAAGGAGGAUCAGCUUGGCUCAGAAGCACUGAAGAAGUGUGAUGGCUUACCCCUUGCUCUUGUCACCACAGCUCGGUACUUGCAAAGCACAGGUAUCUACCCUACUGGUCGUACAGUCAGGAGAGGAAAUUUAAUAAGGAAAUGGUGCGCGGAAGGGUUUAUCCAAGGGGAUUAUAUGUGUAAUGCUCUGGAUACCGCUGUCGCCAAUUUCAAAGAGCUGGUCAACCGGAGUAUCAUCCAGCGUACAGAUGCCAGCAGCAAAAACAUCAAAGAUCAGGUGAAGACAUACCAUACUCACGGCAUGAUGCUCGAGUUCAUCCUGCACAUGUCCAAGUGUGACAACUUCAUUACCUUGUUAUAUGAUCAGCUGGCUCCCCCACCCCCACCCAGUAAAAUCCGUUGGCUCUCCCUCCAUGACGCAAGUGCCAGAGUAGCUAAUGAUCUAUCUCUUGUCCGGUCUCUAACAGUCUUCGGCAAGGCACAUGAAUCCGUCUUGUAUUUUUCCAAAUAUGAACUGCUGCGGGUUUUGGAUCUGGAAGAAUGUGGCAACCACUUGGAGGACAAGCACCUUAGGGAGAUAUGCAACAACCUGUUGCUGCUUAGGUACCUAAGCCUCGGGGCCACUCUUACGGUUACAGUGCUCCCCAAAGAGAUAAAAAAGCUUCAACUUUUGGAGACGCUGGAUGUGAGAAGAACCAGGAUAGAGAUUCUGCCCACACAAGUCAUGGAGCUGCCAUGCCUGAUUCACCUAUUUGGAAAGUUCAAACUCCAACAAGGUGUAGGAGGCCGGAAAAUGCAUAAGCUACAAACUUGGAGCUCAAAGAAUAGCAAAUUGGAAACAGUGGCAGGAUUUGUUGUGGACAACAACAAGAGCCAAGGAUUUGCACAGCUCAUGGAGCAUAUGAAGCACCUGACAAAGGUGAAAAUAUGGUGCCAGCAGUCCACUAAUAAUAGUAUGGAUCCCAUUUCCAGCGGCAGCAGCAGCAGUAGCAAGUACACUCAUCUCUCAGAGGCCAUCAAGGGGUUCAUCAAAAGAAGCACCGAUAAAAAAGCUCAUUCACUGUCACUGAAUUUCAAUGACAGAUGGUGCCAAGACUUGCUCGUGAACUUAUCCCUAGAAAAAGAAGAAGCCUCCUCCUGCUAUCUUAGCUCGCUCAAGGUACAAGGGGGCAACAUAUGCAGCCUGCCUCCAUUUGUUACCAUGCUAGGUGGUCUUACUAGCCUGUGCCUUUCAUCCCCUCAUCAUCAGCUGAGCGGGGAUAUUCUUGCUGCCCUGAGCAGAGUGCGCUGCUUGGCGUACCUAAAGCUGAUUGCAUCUCAACUGGGCAAACUUGUCAUUGUAAAAGGUGCACUUGGAAGCCUGCGACGACUAUGCAUCGUGGUUGAAGUCAUGACUGAACUAGAAGUCCAAGAGGGAGCUCUGCCGCUCCUUGAGUCGCUCCAGCUGCUAUGUAAGGAUCUAAAUGGCUUUUGCAGCAUGAUGAUCCAGUCCCUGGGACGUAUUAAGGAGGUCACCCUCCAUGAUGGAGUCAAUGAUGAAACAAAACAGAAGUGGAAGGAAGCAGCAAAAAAGCACCCCCGAUACCCAAAGCUCUUGUUUGUUAAGACAACAGAAGAUGUUGAUAUGGGAAGUGAACCUGCAGACAAUUCUGAGAGCCCUACGGUGCCAACCAAUGGUAGGACAUUACCAAUGACAGCACCCCACGAUGCCAUUUCUACUGGACAGUCUGUACAAGUUGAUGGUGAUGAUCUGCAACAGGAUGAUGAUGAGAAAGAAGAUACAGAUAAAAUUGAUAUGCUAGCGGAUUUUGCUAGCAAAACUUGUCUGGGCACUAUGAUGAACAAGGAAAGUUUUGAACAGGGGAUGGAAGGAAUGGUAGGUUUAGAUGAUCAGCAGAUGGAAGAUGUCACUCCGUCUACUGAUCAGGCUGAUCAAAGUCUUGUACUUUUGGUGGUGGGUGAGAAUAGAAGAAAGAGGGCUAGGACUGUUGGUGAAGGCAACUCAAUGGACAAGGUUUUUGAUAGGGUGAAGCGCAAGAACCUGGAGGACGUCCCAGUAUCCAUGUUUGCAAGCUUGGGUAAAUCUUGCUCGGGAGUCAGGACAGGACUUCAGUUUGCUCUGAGCAUCAGGUUGGCAUCUGGCGUUUCACAUAGCCGUCAUUUCUGUUGCUUCGGAAACUGGUCUGUCUUUUCAUCCCUGGCAUGUUUACAUGCUACUGGUGAAUCCCCAUGUGCUGCCGCUUGCCGCGACACCAUACCAAACUGA